rnacentral:rRNA from 1 species
GCUCAGAACGAACGCUGGCGGCAUGCCUAACACAUGCAAGUCGAACGAUGCUUUCGGGCAUAGUGGCGCACGGGUGCGUAACGCGUGGGAAUCUGCCCCUUGGUUCGGAAUAACAGUUAGAAAUGACUGCUAAUACCGGAUGACGACGUAAGUCCAAAGAUUUAUCGCCGAGGGAUGAGCCCGCGUAGGAUUAGCUAGUUGGUGUGGUAAAGGCGCACCAAGGCGACGAUCCUUAGCUGGUCUGAGAGGAUGAUCAGCCACACUGGGACUGAGACACGGCCCAGACUCCUACGGGAGGCAGCAGUGGGGAAUAUUGGACAAUGGGCGCAAGCCUGAUCCAGCAAUGCCGCGUGAGUGAUGAAGGCCUUAGGGUUGUAAAGCUCUUUUACCCGUGA